GGAGCUGUGGCUCAGUGGUAGAGUGCUUACCUAGCAUGUGUGAUGCACUGGGUUCAAUUCUCAGCACCA
rnacentral:tRNA from 1 species